CCCAACCACGGGUUAUAAUAGUGGAUACGGCCCAACCACAGGUGACGGUUAAUAUUCGUUCAGCACUGUUGUGGGAAAAUUUCGAAAGCUAAGAAAUUUAGAUGAUUUGAAUAUUUCAGCUGAGGAUCAAGAUUAUGG